rnacentral:rRNA from 1 species
UACAGAGGUCUCAAGCGUUGUUCGGAUUCAUUGGGCGUAAAGGGUGCGUAGGCGGCGCGGUAAGUCGGGUGUGAAAUUUCGAGGCUUAACUUCGAAACUGCAUUCGAUACUGCCGUGCUUGAGGACUGGAGAGGAGACUGGAAUUUACGGUGUAGCGGUGAAAUGCGUAGAUAUCGUAAGGAAGGCCAGUGGCGAAGGCGGGUCUCUGGACAGUUCCUGACGCUGAGGCACGAAGGCCAGGGGAGCAAACGGG